rfam:Haemonchus contortus, ISE/inbred ISE, WGS project CAVP01000000 data, contig: Hcontortus_34578
GGCCCAAAUUUGAAAUAGAGUGGAUUAAGAGGAUCAUCUGACCCUACUAAACUACACUACUUCGAGUUUGUGCCC